UCAAUCUCAUCUAGUGAAAAUAUCUAGUAAUCUAUGCUACUUAAUCCAAGUUAUGUUCCCACUCUAUUUACAAUGUUUCACGGUAUUAGGCCUGCAGUGCCCCAGUGUCUUACUUAGCACACUAUAAACAAUAAACCAAGUUUGAAAUGAAACCACAUUUUUUUUACUUGGGGAAAAUUCCCAUAGAAUUCCAGCAUGUCUGAUCCCCUCGCCUCUCGUCAAAGGCUCCCUCUAGAGAUCACACAGCGUGUAGUAUGUGAAAGAAUGCCAAGGGGACGGGGCAAAAGAGCUAGAGGGCUUGAGAUUCCCAUCUAAAACCGAUUACUCCGCAUUAAAAUUGAUGCCAAAGAUAUUUUACAACGGCAGUAAAAGUUAUGAAGUACAAAGAAGUAGAAUCAAAGGUAAUCUAAUAUCAACAUCUUGUCCACACAGACUGAACUGGAUAAACAUGGAGAUGAGUCAAGGACUGGACCCCUGCUAUCACCAUGGCUGGCCCUAUUUUAUUUAUUUAUUUAUUUUAUUUUACCGUUAUUUUACCAGGUAAGUUGACUGAGAACACGUUCUCAUUUGCAGCAACGACCUGGGGAAUAGUUACAGGGGAGAGGAGGGGGAUAAAUGAGCCAAUUGGAAGCUAUACUCAGCCAAGUUACUCAGUUCAUCUUAAAAUACCCCUAACGCAUUGUUGUGAAUGCAAAAUGUCUGGCUCGAUCAGGGGUAUCUUCCAAAAUGUUUUGGCAUGUCACCAGAACGACAUUUUCCCAUCAGUAUGAUAAUGCAACGUAGCUCCAUGGUGCUCCAUAGUGCAGCGCCUCCGGUGGCCAUGUCUGUCCCUACAGGGCUGACAGAGAACAUCUAUCGAGCGGAGUAGAAGGCGCUAAAACUAACGCUAGACGAGGUGGUGCAACCUAAAAUCAUGAGAGCAUUUGAAGAAAGAUGUCGUAUACUGUGAAGAUUCAAAAGUAUUCAGGACGCUGAAGUGAGUGCAGCAAUGAGCCCGUCCUCCUCAAUUAAGGUGCCACCGGCCGCCUGCGAUUUUGAUGAGACCGUUGCUGCUCUUGGUCUCGCUGAGACCUUGCUUCUGCAUAAUGAGCUGGUGACAGUCGAUGUGACGGAACUCGGAGCAAAACAGGUCAAACAGGCCAAAGAAGGACAUGACCAGAGCCCACUCGGAAAUGGCCGCUCCAGAGCGGAAGCGCAAAUGAGAGAGGCAUGCCUGUAGACACUAAGGAGGGAAAGGGCAGUCAAGAUAUUGGUUUCCAUGUUGACAGUACAGCUACAUGAUCUUCCUCAUUCUGUAUAGACAGAUUUUGAUGUGAUUGUGCUGCCAUGGAAUCAUAUACACUUCACUAUACAAAACAGCUAGGCAACAGCAUAUUUAACUCAGAGUAAACAUUUGAGAAAAUCAAAUCAAAUGUUAUUUGUCACAUGCGCCGAAUACAACAGGUAGCAUAGACCUUACUGUGAAAUGCUUACUUACAAGCCCUUAACCAACAAAGCAGUUAAGGAAAAUAAUAUUUACUAAAUAAACUAAAGAAAACAUUUAACUCCGGGAUGCGGGCCUUUUAGGAAAAGUUGCAAAGAAAAAGCCAUAUCUCAGACUGGCCAAUAAAAAGAAAAGAUAUUAAUGGGCAAAAGAACUCCGACACUGGACAGAGGACCUCUGCCUAGAAGGCCAGCAUCCCGGAGUCACCUCUUCACUGUUGGCGAUGAGAGUGGUGUUUUCCAGGUACUAUUUAGUGAAGCUGCCAGUUGAGGACUUGUGAGGCAUCUGUUUCUCAAACUAGACACUCUAAUGUACUUGUCCUCUUGCUCAGUUGUGCACCGGGGCCUCCCACUCCUCUUUCUAAUUUGGUUAGCGCCAGUUUGCACUGUUCUGUGAAAGGAGUAAUACACAGCGUUGUACAAGAUCUUCAGUUUCUUGGCAAUUUCUUGUAUGGAAUAGCCUUCAUUUCUCAGAACAAGAAUAUACUGAUGAGUUUCAGAAGAAAGUUAUUUUGUUUCUGGCCAUUUUGAGCCUGUAAUCAAACCCACAAAUUCUGAUGCUCCAGAUACUCAACUAGUCUGAAGAAGGCCAUUUUUAUUGCUUCUUUAUUGAGAACAACAGUUUUCAGCUGUGCAAACAUAAUUGCAAAAGGGUUUUCUAAUGAUCAAUUAGCCUUUUAAAAUGAUAAACUUGGAUUAGCUAACACAUCGUGCCAUUGGAACACAGGAGUGAUGGUUACUGAUAAUGGGCCUCUGUACUGCUAUUUAGAUAUUCCAUAAAAAAAAUCUGCUACAAUAGUCAUUUACAACAUUAACAAUGUCUACACUUGUAACGGCAGAUUUCCUCCUCUUCAUCUGAAGAGGAGGUGUAGCAGGGAUCGGACCAACACGCAGCGUGGUAAGUGUCCAUGUUUUAAUAUAAUGAACUGAACAAGACACAAUACAAAAUAACAAAAGUGAAUCGAACCGAAACAGUCCCGUGUGGCACAAACACUGACACAGGAAACAAACACCCACAAACCAACAGUGAAAACAGGCUACCUAAAUAUGGCUCCCAAUCAGAGACAAUGAAAAACACCUGCCUCUGAUUGAGAACCAUAUCAGGCCAAAUUGACAAACCUAAACAUAGAAACACAGAACACAGACUGCCCACCCCAACUCACGCCCUGACCAUACUAACUAAAGACAAAACAAAGGAAACUAAAGGUCAAAACGUGACAACACUGUGUUUCUGAUCAAUUUGAUGUUAUUUUAAUGGACAAAAAAAAUGUGCUUUUCUUUCAAAAACAAGGACAUUUCUAAGUGACCCCAAACUUUUGAACGGUAGUGUACAUGUACAGGUUGGAGCAGGGGGCUGCCACACUGGGCGCCUAUGGAACAGUUGUUGUGGGUGGUUAGGUGCCUUGCUGAAGUGCACAACAGCAGGCAACGGCAUCUAGGAUUGGAUAGUAGCAACCCUCCGGGUUUCCAGCUCACUUCCCACCAGACCUGGAUUCAAACUGGCAACCAUCCGGUUGCUGGCACGCCUCACUAUCCGCUAGGCUACCUGCCGCACUGCCGUUUGAAAUAACUUUCCAGGCGUAAUUUAUUUCAUGAUGACAAAUGACCGCAAAAGCUUGUUCUGUCCGAGGUAUCACUACUUGGUACACCACAUCAAAUAAGAUACAAAAUAGAAGUAUUGCCAUUGUACUUUUCCUCUCUAUGCCCAGUCAUAGAAUUCAUAAACUUAAUCUCCACUUAAAUUGGAUUAUUUGUGGCAACAUGAUUUGUGUACUGUAGGUCUGCGUUACUCUGGAGUCAUGACACCCUUUACAGUGUUGUAGAGACCAGUGUGACUCCUACCUGAUGUAGGGUAAUCUCUCUGUGAUAUUAAAAGUCAAGAACUGUGUUUAGUAUUUCAACACUUCAGUGAAAAUAAAACUCUUACCAGAACACACUGUGGAGUUUGACACGAACAGAAUGGAGCUAUUCAGUUCAUGUUUUUUGUUUCUCUCUCUCAGAACCUGUUCCAGGAAUCAAAAUGUCUGGCUCGAUCAGGGGUAUCUUCCAAAAUGUUUUGGCAUGUCACCAGAACGACAUUUUCCCAUCAGUAUGAUAAUGCAACGUAGCUCCAUGGUGCUCCAUAGUGCAGCGCCUCCGGUGGCCAUGUCUGUCCCUACAGGGCUGACAGAGAACAUCUAUCGAGCGGAGUAGAAGGCGCAAAAACUAACGCUAGACGAGGUGGUGCAACCAUAAAAUCAAGAGAGCAUUUAAAGGCGAUAUGCGCAACUCUUUCCUCACAUUAAAAAACGUUGUGUUUCAUUAGCUGUUUGAAAUAGCUCACAGAAUAUAUUGUACCCACAGAAGUAAGUUGUGUGGCAUAGUCGGGCUGUAAAGGACAUGGGAGAUAAGACCACAACUCAGUGUUGUAUUAACCUUAGAAUUUUUGUAAUACCUGAUAUAAACGCAACAUUCUGUAUUUCUACAUUAUGACAAAAUUGUCCCCUAGCUGCUAAAGGAAAUGUGAUAUUACAUUUAUAUAACAGUGACAUUUCACAUUAUGAACAUUGUGAACUUUUCCUUUCCUGCAGGCUCAAGCCUCCCUCCAUCCUCUCUUUCUUUCUCUCACUCUCUCAUUCAUUGUUAGCCAGCUGACAGGUUCACUCUCUCAUUCAUUGUUAGCCAGCUGACAGGUGGAGAGAUAGACAAAGGCCAGACUUUUCCUGAUGUGGUGACAAAAUGCUACUGCCACGGGUUCAAUACACACGUAACACAACAUUAGACAAACGCACGAUUUCUCCAUAGAUAAGGUUGCAGAACAUCCAAACCAUCCAAUCUGUAAGACAUGUUAUAUUUAAUGAAUUGACCUGAUUUUUUUUUGUGACGCAGAAAGAUGUCGUAUACUGUGAAGAUUCAAAAGUAUUCAGGACGCUGAAGUGAGUGCAGCAAUGAGCCCGUCCUCCUCAAUUAAGGUGCCACCGGCCGCCUGCGAUUUUGAUGAGACCGUUGCUGCUCUUGGUCUCGCUGAGACCUUGCUUCUGCAUAAUGAGCUGGUGACAGUCGAUGUGACGGAACUCGGAGCAAAACAGGUCAAACAGGCCAAAGAAGGACAUGACCAGAGCCCACUCGGAAAUGGCCGCUCCAGAGCGGAAGCGCAAAUGAGAGAGGCAUGCCUGUAGACACUAAGGAGGGAAAGGGCAGUCAAGAUAUUGGUUUCCAUGUUGACAGUACAGCUACAUGAUCUUCCUCAUUCUGUAUAGACAGAUUUUGAUGUGAUUGUGCUGCCAUGGAAUCAUAUACACUUCACUAUACAAAACAGCUAGGCAACAGCAUAUUUAACUCAGAGUAAACAUUUGAGAAAAUCAAAUCAAAUGUUAUUUGUCACAUGCGCCGAAUACAACAGGUAGCAUAGACCUUACUGUGAAAUGCUUACUUACAAGCCCUUAACCAACAAAGCAGUUAAGGAAAAUAAUAUUUACUAAAUAAACUAAAGAAAACAUUUAACUCCGGGAUGCGGGCAGAACGUAUGUUUAUUCUGUGUCUGUUACUUGCACCAACAGUACUUGUUUUAUUAUAGACACCAUUUCAUUGUACAUUAGCUUGAGAUAUCAGUGACCACAGCAAACCAGCCGGUCAGAUACUCGCACCGUCCAUAUGCCCACAGUGCCAAACACCGCCAAGCCGAUCGGAAGCAGCACACAGGGCCACAUUAUGAUCAACUUAGGUCACCUGGGAUAAAUUAAACUAGACACCCAGGAGUCAUUAAAUGAUCCUCUUUGCUCUUCUAAUGAGUAUCUAAUCACAUAUAGACACAAGCUAUGGGCUAAAUAUGUCAUAUGUUCUCUACUCUGUUUCGGAACACAAAGAUACAGUAUAAUGUACUUUAAAAGUUCAAAACUGUAAGCUGAAAAAUAUUUGCCACUCAGUUCAUAUGACUAUGUUCGUAAAUGUGAAACACUCCAUUUAGUAUGAUAUAUUUAGGUUACGUUAUUAAUUAGGUUAGGUCACAUUAUGAAUGGAAUAACGCUUGUACAAUAUCAUCCAAAUUAGAGGAUGCAUAGUAUCAUACGUCUUACCCAGUCGCACAAUAGCAUAUGAAUUGGAUGAGACCAGGUUGCUUGAUGCGCUGUAACAACAAAUUUGAAUUCUGGGGAGAAUUUACGUUGAUGGUUAGGGAAACUAAUUACAAAGGUUAGGAUCUUUUACAUGAAGGUUAGGAGAACUAAAAUGACAAAGGUUAGGUGAAUUUAAGUAGCAGGUUAGUUUUCAAGACAUGUAACUUUCAAAAUGCAAAAUUAUGCAAAAUGCAUCAUACAGGGAAGAUUUCCUGACAAGCGAAACAUUGUGGGACU